UUUUAAGAUGAAGAGAAGCAGCUUGUUCACACUCGUCUCAAACCAUGAUCUCUUCAUCUCUCUGGUUGUUGCUGUUGCUGGCAGCUGUUUCUCGUGUCCACUGUGUUGAACUGACCCAGACUGAUUCUAUGGUAUUAAGUCCUGGUCAGGUUUUGACACUGUCCUGUAAACUCUCUGGAUAUACAGUGUCUGACAGCAGCUACUGCACUGGCUUCAUUCGGCAGCCUGCAGGAAAAGCUCUGGAAUGGGUUGGGCUGAUAUGUAGUGAUGGUAGCACAUAUUACAGUGAUAAACUGAAAAGUAGAUUUCAAGUCACCAGAGAUUCUUCCAUCAACACAGUGACUCUUCAAGGACAGAAUAUGCAGACUGAGGACACAUCUGUGUAUUACUGCGCCAGAUGGUCACAGUGACACAGAGCAGCUACUGUCUUGUUCAAAAACCACUCUAACACUCGGCACACAAAUAAACAGCUUCAUGCUA